rnacentral:rRNA from 1 species
UGAUCCGCCACACUAGGACUGAGACACGGCCCAGACUCCUACGGGAGGCAGCAGUGGGGAAUUUUGGACAAUGGGCGCAAGCCUGAUCCAGCCAUGCCGCGUGAGUGAAGAAGGCCUUCGGGUUGUAAAGCUCUUUCGGCUGGGAAGAAAUCGCAUCUCCUAAUACGAGGUGUGGAUGACGGUACCAGCAUAAGAAGCACCGGCUAACUACGUGCCAGCAGCCGCGGUAAUACGUAGGGUGCGAGCGUUAAUCGGAAUUACUGGGCGUAAAGCGUGCGCAGGCGGUUUCGUAAGACAGAGGUGAAAUCCCCGGGCUCAACCUGGGAACUGCCUUUGUGACUGCGAGGCUAGAGUAUGGCAGAGGGGGGUGGAAUUCCACGUGUAGCAGUGAAAUGCGUAGAGAUGUGGAGGAACACCGAUGGCGAAGGCAGCCCCCUGGGCCAAUACUGACGCUCAUGCACGAAAGCGUGGGGAGCAAACAGGAUUAGAUACCCUGGUAGUCCACGCCCUAAACGAUGUCAACUAGGUGUUGGGUGGGUUAAACCAUUUAGUACCGUAGCUAACGCGUGAGGUUGACCGCCUGGGGAGUACGGCCGCAAGGUUAAAACUCAAAGGAUUGACAGGGACCCGCACAAGCGGUGGAUGAUGUGGAUUAAUUCCGAUGCACGCGAAAAACUUAGCUACC